GUCAGCUGUAACAGCGAGGAGUGAGUGAAAACUUAGACAUAACACAAGAACUGGCUGGCCAGAGAGAGCACUGGAGAGAGCGCUGGAGAAGAACGGUUUAGCCUAGGAGAGAAUCGCUGGCAUUACAACGGAUAGAGCCCCUGCCAUGAUUGGGAGAAAAUCUGGCCUCACCACACUUGUAUCCCAAAAGGUCAGUGAAGGUUAGGUGGCUGAGCCGUGGAAAAGUCCUUAAGAGAUUUUUUUGAUCUGCAUCAUGCAAUCAGAGAUGUUCUCGCCAGUAAGGACAGUGAUACUGAAGUACCCUCGGAUGAGGGUGACCUGACCUGGCUUUUCUGGUGGACAUCACAGACCUGCUCAAUGUGUUGACUGUUCAGCUUCAGGGAAGGGAGCAGAUCGUCACACAGAGGUGUGACUACGUCAACGCCUUCAAGCUGAAACUUCAGCUACUCUGUCGACAUCUGACAGCAGGGAAUUUGGCACACUUUCCCAGCCUCAGUGAAGUAGACAUUGUGGAAGAGAGUCUGUCUGAGUAUGAUACACCUCUCAGCAACCUAGCCCAGGAGUUUGACAGACACUUUGAGGACUUCAGGGACAGUGCAGUUUACGUGGAAGGUUUUUUUCCCCCAGCCCUUCACCAUCAGUGUGGACUCAGUCAGUGAUGAACUUCAGAUGGAACUGAUUGACUUUCAGUGUGACUCAGAGCUCAAAAAGAAGUUCAACUGUCUCAUCUACAGGACUUCUACAAAUGUGUCCCAGCAGACAGGUAUCCAAAGAUAAGGAAACAUGCCCAGAUGAUGUUCUCCCUUUAUGGUAGCACCUACAUCUGUGAACAGACUUUCAGUCUCAUGAACCUGAACAAGACUAGGCUCAGAAGUUCCCUUACUGACACCCACUUGCAGAGUAUCCUCACCCUGCCAGUGAGUCAGCUGCAGCCUAACAUUGACCGACUUGUAAAAAGCAAGGACCAGCUUGUAUUUCACUAGUGGUGCUCUCUGAUAUUGCACUGGAUGACUGAAGUUAAGCAUCAAAUUAUGUUAUGUUUACUUCUGGCUCUGCUUGUUUGAAA